rfam:Gossypium raimondii chromosome 10, whole genome shotgun sequence.
AAUCUAUGCAUUAGACAUUUUUUAAUUAAUUCUUUAAAUCGUUCCCAAGCUUCAUAUAGUGUUUCAUCCUUCGAUUGCCGACAAUAUGUGCUGUCAUUUCUAAGCUU